UACGAAGGGGGCUAGCGUUGCUCGGAAUCACUGGGCGUAAAGCGCGCGUAGGCGGCUUGUUAAGUCAGGGGUGAAAUCCUGGAGCUCAACUCCAGAACUGCCUUUGAUACUGGCGAUCUCGAGUCCGGGAGAGGUGAGUGGAACUGCGAGUGUAGAGGUGAAAUUCGUAGAUAUUCGCAAGAACACCAGUGGCGAAGGCGGCUCACUGGCCCGGUACUGACGCUGAGGUGCGAAAGCGUGGGGAGCAAACAGG
rnacentral:rRNA from 1 species